UUUUUUUUUUUUUUUUUUUUUUUUUUUUAAUGGCCGCUCCUGUGGCAUAUGGAAGUUCCUGGGCUAGGGAUGGAAUUGGAGCUGCAGCUGCCGCCCUAUGCCACAGCCAUGGCAACACAGUACUGGAGCCACAUCUGCAACCUACUCCACAGCUUACACCAAGUCCAGAUUCUUAACCCAUUGAGUGAGGCCAGGGAUCAAACCCACAUCCUCACAGAGAAUAUGUCAGGUUCUUAACCUGAGCCACAACAGGAACUCCUAUGACAGCCUACUUUAAUUAUUAUUUUAUCUAUAGUACAACACAAAUCCAGCAAAACAAGUGUUGACCGACCUACAAAGAAAUUGAAUUCCUGAUAAUCUGACACUUCAACUAUAUCAAUUCUUCUGAUAUGGGCCCCAUAACAAGGGUUUUACAACUUUUCCACAUUAACAUCUAAAGACUCCUAAAGAUAUAAACACUGGUGUACACAAGUUCCACAAGCCAAUGUUCAACACAUGAACAAGUUAAUGCAUUAAACUAAUGACCGAUUUUGAGCCCUAAUCUUAUGAGAUUAGUAGAGUGACAACAUAAUUUAUUAACCCAACUAGGACACUUCUGAAAACAAAGGGGGUACUAUUAACAAUUUACACCGAGACAACAAGUAUAAACUAGGACAUUUGAUCACCAUAACCAUCCACAAGCCUGAGACAAACCUAAACAUAACCUCCAAGACAUACAUUCUCUACUUUUUUCCAAAAUGUCAUUCAUUUCACUGGUAUCUCCUCUGUCUCCUCCUUUACUGGCCUUUGCUCUUUUGCCCUCACAGUACUGGAGUCCUUGGACAUCUCUAUACUCACUUUUUUUUUUUUUUUUGGCCUUUUCUAGGACCACUCCCGCGACAUGUGGAGGUUCCAAGGCUAGGGAUCUAAGUAGCUACUGGCCUACACCAGAGCCACAGCAACAAGGGAUCUGAGCAGCGUCUGCAACCUACACCACAGCUCAUGGCAACACCGGAUCCUUAACCCACUGAGCAAGGCCAGGGAUCAAACCUGCAACCUCAUGGUUCCCAGAUUCGUCAACCACUGCACCAUGACAGGAACUCCUAUAUUCACUUUCUUGAUUUACUUCAGCCUAUGGCUUCAAAUACCAGUAACUCCUAUACAUUCCAUCUUCAGUUCAAAUUUCUCUCAUUAAGUUCCUAAAGACAUCUCAAACCCAACAUGUUCAAAAAUGAGCUUCUGAUCUUCACUCUCCUCUCCAAAUGAUGUUCCAUUUAUACAUGUUUUUUCCCCAUCUCAGUUGAUACCAAUUCUAUCCCUAAGAGUUACUCAGGCCAAAGUCUUGGGAGACUUCCCACUCCCCAUAAUCAACCUGUCAAAAAAAUUCUUUUGGAGUUCCCGUCGUGGCGCAGUGGUUAACGAAUCCGACUAGGAACCAUGAGGUUGCGGGUUCGGUCCCUGCCCUUGCUCAUGGGUCGAGGAUCCGGCGUUGCCGUGAGCUGUGGUGUAGGUUGCAGACUCGGCUUGGAUCCCGAGUUGCUGUGGCUCUGGCGUAGGCCGGUGGCUACAGCUCUGCUUAGACCCCUAGCGUGGGAACCUCCAUAUGCUGCAGGAGCGCCCUAGGAAAGGCAAAAAGACCAAAAAAAAUAAAAAAAUAAAUAAAAUGUUUAUAAGUAAAAUUCUUUCAAGAACACAAAAUUUGAGAUUUCAAGAUAUCAAGUUAUGAGAUUUAACUGUAAGGAAUUUGUGGCCCAAGAGCAUUCUAUUUGUACAUUCAGUGUCCAAUAAUACUGGUCUCAAUAUAUACCACAGACUCAAAUAUUAAAGUAACUAAUUUCAUACCAAGGCAAUCUAUUUUUCUUCUUUUUUGGCUACACCCAUGAC
rnacentral:lncRNA from 1 species